UUCCUCCUUUGACGUUAGCGGCGGACGGGUGAGUAACACGUGGAUAACCUACCUAUAAGACUGGGAUAACUUCGGGAAACCGGAGCUAAUACCGGAUAAGAUUUUGAACCGCAUGGUUCAAUAGUGAAAGACGGCCUUGCUGUCACUUAUAGAUGGAUCCGCGCCGUAUUAGCUAGUUGGUAAGGUAACGGCUUACCAAGGCAACGAUACGUAGCCGACCUGAAUAGGGUGAUCGGCCACACUGGUAACUGUAGACACGGUCCACACUCCUACGGGUAGGCAGCAGUAGGGAAUCUUCCGCAAUGGGCGAAAGCCUGACGGAGCAACGCCGCGUGAGUGAUGAAGGUCUUCGGAUCGUAAAACUCUGUUAUCAGGGAAGAACAAACGUGUAAGUAACUGUGCACGUCUUGACGGUACCUGAUCAGAAAGCCACGGCUAACUACGUGCCAGCAGCCGCGGUGAAUACGUAGGUGGCAAGCGCUUAUCCGGUAAUUAUUGGGCGUC
rnacentral:rRNA from 1 species